UGUAUUAGCUGUAAUGAUGAAGCCAAAUCAAAUAGGGAUAUUUUGAAAUCAUUUAAUAUGUAUGUUUCAGACUUGCAUGAUACAUAAUAGGAAAUGCAUCCAUUACGUAAACCUUCCUCAGUUAUAGCAUUUCAAAAAUAGUGGCACAACACAG